ensembl:lncRNA
AAUGCACAGAGAAUACCUGCAUAGUGCCUUGAGCCCCUGGAGAAGGAUUCUUUUUAAUGGACAGUCCCCCAGACACCAGCUCAGCCAUACUAGGUGCUGUCUGAAGCCAGCAGCAGCUUUGCUUACAGGACCAAACGUUCUCUCUCUCGCACCACUGGAGGAAUCUCCCCCAAACUGGAGACAGAAAUGAACUUCAGCUUCGUGGCUCUUGCUGGAGGAUCCUGAGCAGCUUGGGCAAACACCUGCGGCUCUUUGAAGCAUGAAAGGUUCGAUAGCUGAUCUUUGCAGGGCUGCUUUUAGAGUAAAUGGAUCUGGUGUUCGAGUUCCACAAAACAAGAUCUAUACUUGCUGAAGGCAGCUCAAGUAUUCGCUAAGUCCUUGCUGUAACAUUGUUUUUCCUUGCUGCUGUCCUGGGUUCAGUUCGGUGAAGAAUUGCUUUGACAUAUUGGUUAUAAAAGCAGCUUGGGAGGAAAGGAAGCUGUUUAUUUCCGUUCAGGGAUACGGGCACCGAAACCGAAAUGAAUGGCCCGAAAAUGAGCCUCUAUCUUUCACAUUUCCAAACGAAGAUGCAAUGAUAAAUUGCUGGACAAUGACGUUUGACCCACAAAGGUAAUAAAAAGCUAAAACUGUGUUUUCUUGGCAUAGCUUUCCGAUAUGCUCUGCGCAAAGCCCAGGCAACCUUGAAGCAGAGCUGAAAAGGAACCAUGAUAAGGACUGCUCAGUGCUAACCAAUGCAGUCUGUGGGAAUUAAACAGCGAUGGUCUGAGGUGGACCUUCCAAAGCUGAACCGUUUGUUGUCCCCUUGCUUGUAUUCCUCGCCGUCAGACCUGUGCUCAGAUCCCUGCUCAGGCGUUUGAACUGCGUGCAAAGUGCGCUGAAAUUACUGGCGGUAAUUAGUUUAUUUAGGGAGCAAUUAAUUAAACGCAACUGUUUCCCUCUCUAUAGAUUAAAAGAGUGCUAUAAGCGAUAGCAUCUUAAAAAGAGCAGAUGUGCUCUGAAAGGACCAGAGACCAAUUGUUCCAUCAGUCGAGGAGGACAGGACCAGUAGCAGAGGGCCGAAGGGAAACAUGAAGUUCAGUGGUAGGGAUAGCAGCACCAAUAGCUCCAGGGGGUGCCCACCUGCUUGAGGGGUGGCUUCAAGUCACAGCUUUUCUCCCAAGCUCUGUUACCAAAUGCUUUGGUUUUCGGCUCUGGGACACAAGAACCUUCUGUCUUCCACUCUUUGAUGACCUCUCGGAUGAGGAUGUAAUUCUGUGCCUCCUCUGCUCGUGCAGAGCACGGUGUGCUCAGAGCUGCAGUGCCGGGGGGGUCUGCGGAUGGGGCUGUCCGAGUCGCCGGGGUGGUGCUGGGAAGGGAAAGGGGGAGGGAGAGGCUCUUACCGAAAACCUCGGCGUAGCUCCCGGUGAAUGGCACAUGGGACGAAGCCGUGUAACGUGUGAAAAGCCACGGGAUGCUUGUGGG